rnacentral:rRNA from 1 species
GAUGAACGCUGGCGGCGUGCCUAAUACAUGCAAGUCGAGCGAACAGACGAGGAGCUUGCUCCUCUGACGUUAGCGGCGGACGGGUGAGUAACACGUGGAUAACCUCCCUAUAAGACUGGGAUAACUUCGGGAAACCGGCGCUAAUACCGGAUAAUAUAUUGAACCGCAUGGUUCAAUAGUGAAAGACGGUUUUGCUGUCACUUCUAGAUGUAUCCGCGCCGCAUUAGCUAGUUGGUAAGGUAACGGCUUACCAAGGCAACGAUGCGUAGCCGACCUGAGAGGGGGAUCGGCCACACUGGAACUGAGACACGGUCCAGACUCCUACGGGAGGCAGCAGUAGGGAAUCUGCCGCAAUGGGCGAAAGCCUGACGGAGCAACGCCGCGUGAGGGAUGAAGGUCGUCGGAUCGUAAAACUCUGUUAUUAGGGAAGAACAAAUGUGUAAGUAACUAUGCACGUCUUGACGGUACCUAAUCAGAAAGCCACGGCUAACUACGUG